GCAGAGUAGAGAGCCUUGCGUAAAGUGCCGACUGUACGGGGAGUUGACAGCCGGACGAAAAGCCGUUUUUGCCGUUUUUCAAAACCGAAAACCCAAAUUCGCUUGCGGUAACGCUCUCGCAUCCCACUGC
rnacentral:ncRNA from 1 species